rnacentral:tRNA from 1 species
NNCCCGUUGGUCAAGUGGUUAAGACACCGCCCUUUCACGGCGGUAACACGGGUUCGAAUCCCGUACGGGUCACCA